AUCCAGAUGAGGGGUCCAAAAUAGGAUGAAAUGCGCAUCCUGGAU
rfam:Trichobilharzia regenti genome assembly, scaffold: TRE_scaffold0004822